GAUGAACGCUAGCUACAGGCUUAACACAUGCAAGUCGAGGGGCAGCAUGGUCUUAGCUUGCUAAGGCCGAUGGCGACCGGCGCACGGGUGAGUAACACGUAUCCAACCUGCCGUCUACUCUUGGACAGCCUUCUGAAAGGAAGAUUAAUACAAGAUGGCAUCAUGGGUCCGCAUGUUCACAUGAUUAAAGGUAUUCCGGUAGACGAUGGGGAUGCGUUCCAUUAGAUAGUAGGCGGGGUAACGGCCCACCUAGUCUUCGAUGGAUAGGGGUUCUGAGAGGAAGGUCCCCCACAUUGGAACUGAGACACGGUCCAAACUCCUACGGGAGGCAGCAGUGAGGAAUAUUGGUCAAUGGGCGAGAGCCUGAACCAGCCAAGUAGCGUGAAGGAUGACUGCCCUAUGGGUUGUAAACUUCUUUUAUAAAGGAAUAAAGUCGGGUAUGGAUACCCGUUUGCAUGUACUUUAUGAAUAAGGAUCGGCUAACUCCGUG
rnacentral:rRNA from 1 species